AAUGAACGUUGGCGGCGUGGAUUAGGCAUGCAAGUCGUACGAGAAUCGUAGCAAUACGAGGAAAGUGGCGAAAGGGAGAGGAUUACGUGGGAAUCAACCCUCAGACCUGGGAUAGCGGCGGGAAACUGCCGGUAAUACCAGAUAAUGUCUGCGGACCAAAGGUGUGAUUCCGUCUGGGGAUGAGCCCACGUCCUAUUAGCUAGUUGGCAGGGUAAUGGCCUACCAAGGAAAUGAUGGGUAGCGGGUGUGAGAGCAUGACCCGCCUCACUGGGACUGAGAACUGCCCAGACGCCUACGGGUGGCUGCAGUCGAGAAUCUUCGGCAAUGAGCGCAAGCUUGACCGAGCGACGCCGCGUGCGGGAUGAAGGCCUUCGGGUUGUAAACCGCUGUCGUAGGGGAGCAAGAAAUGAGGGUUCUCCCUCAAAUUUAAGCGAUCCUAGGAGGAAGGACGGGCUAAGUUCGUGCCAGCCGCCGCGGUAA
rnacentral:rRNA from 1 species